rnacentral:rRNA from 1 species
AACGAACGUUAGCGGCGCGCUUAACACAUGCAAGUCGCACGAGAAAGGGCUUCGGCCCCGGUACAGUGGCGCACGGGUGAGUAACACGUGGAUAAUCUUCCCUCGAGCGGGGGAUAACAUUCCGAAAGGAGUGCUAAUACCGCAUAAGACCACGGACUCGAAAGAGUCUGAGGUCAAAGCCGGCCUCUAUACAUAAGCUGGCACUUGAGGAUGAGUCCGCGGCCCAUCAGCUAGUUGCGGGGUAAUGGCCCACCAAGGCGAAGACGGGUAGCUGGUCUGAGAGGAUGAUCAGCCACACUGGAACUGAGACACGGUCCAGACUCCUACGGGAGGCAGCAGUGGGGAAUCUUGCGCAAUGGGCGAAAGCCUGACGCAGCGACGCCG